rnacentral:rRNA from 1 species
CCCUUAGAUGUUCUGGGCCGCACGCGCGCUACACUGAUGCAUUCAACGAGCACCCGCUGGGCCGAGAGGUCCGGCUAAUCUUUGAACGUGCAUCGUGCUGGGGAUAGAUGAUUGCAAUUAUUCAUCUUCAACGAGGAAUUCCUAGUAAACGCAAGUCAUCAGCUUGCAUUGAUUACGUCCCUGCCCUUUGUACACACCGCCCGUCGCACCUACCGAUUGAAUGGUCCGGUGAAAUUCUCGGACGCGGACUUGCGAUGUUAAUUCGGAGCUUGACUGUGAAAGUUAAUUAAACCUUACCAUUGAGAGGAAGGUGAAGUCGUAACA